UACGUAGGGGGCAAGCGUUGUCCGGAUUUAUUGGGCGUAAAGAGCGUGUAGGCGGCCAGAUAGGUCCGUUGUGAAAACUCGAGGCUCAACCUCGAGACGCCGAUGGAAACCAUUUGGCUAGAGUCCGGAAGAGGAGAGUGGAAUUCCUGGUGUAGCGGUGAAAUGCGCAGAUAUCAGGAGGAACACCGGUGGCGAAGGCGGUUCUCUGGGCAUGUCCUGACGCUGAGGAGCGAAAGUGUGGGGAGCGAACAGG
rnacentral:rRNA from 1 species